rnacentral:rRNA from 1 species
AGUCAAUAGAUACCCAGGUAGUCCAUGCCGUAAACGAUGAUUGCUAGGUGUGGGGGGUCUGACCCCUUCCGUGCCGGAGUUAAACACAAUAAGCAAUCCACCUGGGGAGUACGGCCGCAAGGUUGAAACUCAAAGGAAUUGACGGGGGCCCGCACAAGCAGUGGAGUAUGUGGUUUAAAUUCGAAGCAACGCGAAGAACCUUACCAGGUCUUGACAUCCACCGAAUCCUGUAGAGAUACGGGAGUGCCCUUCGGGGAACGGUGAGACAGGUGGUGCAUGGUUGUCGUCAGCUCGUGUCGUGAGAUGUUGGGUUAAGUCCCGCAACGAGCGCAACCCUUGUGAAUAGUUGCUACGAAAGAGCACUCUAUUCAGACCGCCGUUGACAAAACGGAGGAAGGUGGGGAUGACGUCAAAUCAUCAUGCCCCUUAUGACCUGGGCUACACACGUACUACAAUGGCCGUUAACAGAGGGAUGCAAUGCCGCGAGGUGAGCGAACCCCUAAAAACGGUCUCAGUUCAGAUUGCAGGCUG